UACGUAGGAGGCAAGCGUUAUCCGGAAUGACUGGGCGUAAAGGGUGCGUAGGCGGCUUUACAGGUCCGUUGUGAAAACUCGAGGCUCAACCUCGAGACGCCGGUGGAAACCGUAAAGCUAGAGUCCGGAAGAGGAGAGUGGAAUUCCUGGUGUAGCGGUGAAAUGCGCAGAUAUCAGGAAGAACACCCGUGGCGAAGGCGGCUCUCUGGGACGGUACUGACGCUGAGACGCGAAAGCGUGGGGAGCAAACGGG
rnacentral:rRNA from 1 species